UGGGUGUAUGUGUGCAGUGCCAUGAAGCAAUAGUAACAUUGCGAGACCUGAUAUCACGCGGUACUUCCUGGCGCUGAGGCGAGUUGCAAGGAUGGUUUUUUCGCUCACAGGCGCUAGGGGGGAGCAAGACGACCCCCAUUCAACCAGAAAAAAAGUCAUAUAAGCAUUCCAAUGACUCUGAAGCUGUUUAGUUAAGGCAAAUUAAGCUAAAAAAAAACUUGCAUACCACAAGUAAUCCUGUACA